rnacentral:misc_RNA from 1 species
GUUACGAUUAUAUUAUUUUUGACGCUGAUUGCUAACAUACGAGUUGAAAUGUCCUACCGGCAAGCAAGCCUGCCGAGGAAACAAAGGGUACGCAAAAAAAAGGGUUGAAUAGUACCGGUUAGCCCGGCCUAAAUACGUAAUGAUCCUUCCGCAGGUUCACCUACGGAAA